rnacentral:rRNA from 1 species
UACGAAGGGGGCUAGCGUUGCUCGGAAUCACUGGGCGUAAAGGGCGCGUAGGCGGGCUCUUAAGUCAGGGGUGAAAGCCCAAGGCUCAACCUUGGAACUGCCUUUGAUACUGCAAAUCUCGAGUCCGGAAGAGGUGAGUGGAAUUCCUAGUGUAGAGGUGAAAUUCGUAGAUAUUAGGAAGAACACCAGUGGCGAAGGCGGCUCACUGGUCCGGUACUGACGCUGAGGUGCGAAAGCGUGGGGAGCAAACGGG